UUCGGGAAGGCGGCGGGGAGGAUGUCAGUCAGCAGCCCUGCUUAUAGGGGUCGGCUCCGUUCUGAAGCGCUUUUCUCCUGUCUCAAUCUUCACGUUGUUUUCAAUGCUGUUGGGAAGGAAAGAAGCUUCCUGAGUCCGUUUUGUUGAUGCUGUGGACCGAAGGAGGGAAGGACGGAUCAAACUGCUCUGCAGGACGUUGAAGACUUGCUGAGAAAUUAAAGCCCAGGAUUGCAUUGCAAUAUCAUUCUCCUAAGAUGGAUAAAGUAAACAAGGAUUUGAUGAAUUCCCUGGGCAGGAGCCCCAACCCUCCCAGUACCAGCCGUGAGGCUUCACACCAGACCCGCAGACCAGGAAGGCGUUUGUUUUUCCUUGAUAGAGAAAAGGCUUAUUAUUCUGGUGUCCCCACUCCAGAAGCCUCCAGCAGCUCAGAGGAUGUUUGUGCUGCACCCCGUACAUACCUUUCUUUGCUGAACCAGGCAGACCUCGAACAGCACACCCCUAAAGG